rnacentral:rRNA from 1 species
GACAGAGGGUGCAAACGUUGUUCGGAAUUACUGGGCGUAAAGCGCGUGUAGGCGGCUAUGUAAGUCGGGCGUGAAAUCCCACGGCUCAACCGUGGAAGUGCACCCGAAACUGCGUAGCUAGAGUCCUGGAGAGGAAGGUGGAAUGCUUGGUGUAGAGGUGAAAUUCGUAGAUAUCAAGCGGAACACCGGUGGCGAAGGCGGCCUCUGGACAGU